ACGCUCGACACCUACGGGGGCAGCAGUGGGGAAUAUUGCACAAUGGGGGAAACCCGUCGAUGCAGCGACGCCGCGUGAGCGAAGAAGUAUUUCGGUAUGUAAAGCUCUAUCAGCAGGGAAGAAACUGACGGUACCUGACUAAGAAGCACCGGCUAAAUACGUGCCAGCAGCCGCGGUAAUCUGAGCGGGCUGGCAAGGC
rnacentral:rRNA from 1 species